rnacentral:rRNA from 1 species
AACGAACGCUGGCGGCAUGCCUAACACAUGCAAGUCGAACGAGACCUUCGGGUCUAGUGGCGCACGGGUGCGUAACGCGUGGGAACCUGCCCUUAGGUUCGGAAUAACUCCCCGAAAGGGGUGCUAAUACCGGAUAAUGUCUUCGGACCAAAGAUUUAUCGCCUUUGGAUGGGCCCGCGUUGGAUUAGGUAGUUGGUAGGGUAAAAGACUACCAAGGCGACGAUCCAUAGCUGGUCUGAGAGGAUGAUCAGCCACACUGGGACUGAGACACGGCCCAGACUCCUACGGGAGGCAGCAGUGGGGAAUAUUGGACAAUGGGCGAAAGCCUGAUCCAGCAAUGCCGCGUGAGUGAUGAAGGCCUUAGGGUUGUAAAGCUCUUUUACCCGGGAUGAUAAUGACAGUACCGGGAGAAUAAGCUCCGGCUAACUCCGUG